GCGACACUGAACUGGAGGACCCGGGGGGCGGACCCCAGAGGAACCUGGACUCCGAGAGAGGUUUCCUCCUGUUCAGGGAAGUCAGGUCAGCCCUGGGAGAAGCUGGUGCUCCAAUAUCGGGACCACACAGAGGCCGCCUGGCACUCUGGAACUACUCAACUGCAGCAGGCCAGAUGACCUGCGACUUCACCAGCUGGGCGCCCUUUGUGUCCACGAUGUGCCCGAGCGCGUGGAGCGCGCAUGCACGCCGCGCGAGAGCCUGCUCUGGACCGACUCUGUGCACGUGACCUGGCAGCGCGGUCAGAGAAGCUUCAGGUUCAAGGGCCAGGGAGCAGGAGCCUGGGUGACAGAGAUGGAAAGCUCCACGGUGGGAGGAACAUGUCCACAGUGGCUCCUUAUAACAUCCUCGGUGCCUGGCGGAGUGCAUAGCACAAGGUCAGAACUCCCCACACAGUGUAGCAGGGUCCUUCACUCAAGUUCUCACGAGGCUACAAUCAAUAUGAUGGCCAGGCUCGUCCUUAUCUGGAGGCUCAAGCAGGGAAGAAUUCACUUGUAAGCUCACCUGGGUUGCUGGCAGAACUCAUCUCCUUAUUGUUGUGAGAGUGAGGUGCCCGUUUGCUUGCUGACUGUCAGCUGGGGACCGCUCUUAGGAACCAGAGACCACUCAUGGUUGCUGCCAUCUGGCCCUCUCACAGCAUAGCAUCUUACUUCUUCAAAGCCAGCAGGGAAGUCUCUACAGCCUAUCACUUUGCCAUAUUCCAUUGGUCCGAAGCAAGUCCGGGUCCUGCUCACACCUGACGGGAGGGUAUUACACGAGACAUGACACCGAGGGAUGGAGAUCAUAGGGCCCUCUUAGAAUUCUGCUCUCUGUGGAUACCACGGUGGGUUUUGUUUUGAGGGUGUCAUACAGCACGGUCUGGUUGGCCCUCAGAAUUCUCUAAUCACAACCACCACAUCGCACAGCUUUCAGGGGAGCUGGAUCUACAAGGGCUCUGGAAUGACUGUGGAAACCAGACCCAAAAUGUCCCCAGGAGACCCCAUCAGGCCCAUAGUGACACCGUAGGAUAGAAUGGUGCCAGUGCCAUUGGGAGGAGGAAGUAUGUGUGUGUGCACGUGUGUGUGUGCAAGCCCUUCCUGAGAGCACAUCAAGAGAGACUGCCUGCCAUUCUGGCAUUUUCUGAAGUGGCUUUUUCCUGAGUUGUUGGUACACUCUGUGACAUGAGUCACACUGUCUCUUUAUUAAAAAUCCAUCUUCUCCA